GAAAAUACUGACCUUUAGUAUUUUUCAAUUUAGUUUACAAUAUUGAAAAAUGAAAAAAUGCUCUAACGUGGAGCAUUUUUCAAU
rnacentral:sRNA from 1 species